CCUCCGCCGCUCCCCGCUCGUGAUGGCCGCCGGUGACUCCGCCGUUCGCCCGCGGCCCUGCGCCCUCCGCCGCUCGUGACGGCCGCCGGUGCGACCUCCGCCGCUCGUCCACCUGGCCUACUCCGCUGCUCGCCCCGUCGCCCGUCCUCUGCUCCCCUGCUGCCCUGCUCCGCCGCUCGCGCAGCCCAGCUCACCGCCUCGCCCGCUCUGCUGGUUCCUGCUCUCCGCCACGCGCAGCCCAGCUCGCCGCCUCGCCCGCUCUGCCAGCUCCUGCUCUCUGCUGCCCAGGAUUGGUGUUGGCUCUUCUUCCACCGUUGAUUAAGUUAUGGAAGACACUGAUGAAGCAAGCCAUUGAUUUGGUAUUCUUUUUACUGCACGUAUUGUUCGUAGCUUUUGUCAUCUUUUUUAUCAAUUUUGUUGUGUCUCUAAGCAUUGAGUUUAAA